GGGUAAAGCUCAGUGGUAGAGCGCAUACCUAGGCUGCAUGAGGUCCUGGGUUCAAUCCCCAGUACCUCCA
rnacentral:tRNA from 1 species